UAAGCUACAGUUUUAGAAAUAUAGUUUUGUCGUGACUAAGUUUAUAGCUUAC
rnacentral:tRNA from 1 species